AAAGUGACGUGACGUUGUAAACAGUAGAAGUGGAGGGAAACUUGCUGCACUAAUUCUGGAGGGUGUGUCAAUAACGCUUACUUUACGAUAGUAUGUGGUGAUCAUUCGUAUUAAAUCGUGGCAUUAGGUAAUGAAGUCAUCACUGCAUGGGUCUGCAAUGUCCUGAAUAAUGCACUGGUGGCGGGACUUGUGACGCUUACCAAAGUUUUAUUGACGUGUAAGCUUCGUAUGAUUGGCGGCCGCAUUGCAAAUGGUCUCAGCUCGCAAUUACUAAGUAUAUACUAGUAGCAGACAGGUAAAGGAGCUUCAAGUAAGAAGUUGUCAUCCUUGUCUGCCACUCCUUCCACCAACACCACCACCAUGCUACAUGACCUGCUGGCAGCCAUGAAGGGCCAUGGAGGAGGUAUCUUUGUAUGGCAAGACACCAAAUUUAAGGUGAAUAAUGACCUUGGGUUGCUGCAUCCUUGUGAAGUGGCUAUUGUGGAGGAGAUAAUGGAUGUGGCUACAAACUUCAAAAAGAUUACUGCUUUCUGUGAUGCCCAUGAUGGAGGUGGUGUGGAGACUGGUGAUCAUUGUGGGGGAAUAUAUCUUUCUUCACUGUCUGCGGCACUGCGAGCCACUGCCACCACUACCUUCCAUCACACUGUGCUAGAGCUGGAAAAGAAAUUGCUUUUUGAUCCUGAGUUGCCUUUGACAACUGCUCUGGUGACCAUCCGCCCUAUUGGUCCAAUUCUGGCCACUCUUGCUAACCUAGUCACUCAGAUUAAAGAAAAACAAUUGCAUGGAUGCCAAAUACUAGAGACCGUGCACAAUCUCAUAGCAGUCUCAGUAGGUCAGGUGAAAGAGGUAUUUAGCAGGAUAGAGCAGAAAGUCCAUGCAGUUUUGUACCAUCAGCUCACUCUUUGGCUCCUGCAUGGCCUCCUUCUUGAUCCCCACCAGGAGUUCUUCAUUUCCACCUGUGCUUCCUCCUUCUCCUCUUCAGCUAGUACCACCAUGAGCACCACCUCCAGUCUAAGUCAGCAGACAGAGACUCUGAGUCUGGAAGAGAGCAGUGAUAAGAUGGCCUCAACCCCAGAGUGUCACCUUCGACUUGAGAUGUUGCCAGCACAUAUCCCCCUCUCUGUAGCUGAGAAAGUGCUUUUCAUUGGCGAAUUCAUCCUUGUCUUUGAACAUGGCGCACUAAGGGAAAAUGGAGAGUCCAGGCCCAGUCUAGCGUCAUCUCGGAGUGGUAAAGUGUUGAAAAAGCGAGAAGGGGAGUUCCGAGGGCUGCUGGCAGACCUGGCUGCUGAGCAAAGCUUUUCUGUGGAUAAAUUUAGCAGAGCCAUCGAAACCAUCAGAAAUUGUGUUUCUGAGGAAUUAUGGAAACUUGUAAUGGAAGCUGACAUUCUUGGAGAGUUGUCAGACCUUAAAGCAGUAUUCCUGCUUGGCAGAGGUGAACUAUUCCAAACACUGGUGCCCAUCAUCACUCCCUUCUUGCUGACCCCUGCAGACCCAUGUGCUGAUUUCACUGAGCUCUUCCGGUCAGCUGGACGUCAAGUGCUCAUGGAAGACAAUGUGUUAGAGAAGUUCACUCUUUCUCUGAAGAUGCCACCAAAAACUGCUGCAGCCACUUCCAGCCACACUUCAGAGGAGCAGUGGCAUGCACUGUGGCUAACAUACAGUGCCCGCUGGCCUCUUCACAAACUACUGACAUCAACAGCUCAAGACAAGUACAAUGCCAUUUUCACUUUUCUCUUGGAUGUAAGGAGAGCCCAAUACCGACUACAGCAGCUCUGGCUUGUCCAGCGCAGGAGUGGCAGGUUGGGGGAGGGUUCGUGCCUAGGAUGGACUCUCAGGCAUCACAUGGCUCUCCUUAUUGACAACAUCCAGUACUACCUACAGGCUGAUGUGUUGGAAUCUCAACACUGGCAACUGGUGAAAGCAGUGAAUGAGACACAGGACUACCAACAGUUAGUAACAGCACAUCAUGUCUUCUUAGCAUCAGUAGCAGCCCAGUGUUUCCUCCAUAGUCCAGUGGUAGCUCGUGCUAUUCAUUGCCUCCUUGGACUUGUUCAUCGGUUCUGUGCACAUCUAGAGUCUUCUGUUAGAAAUGGAAGCACUGAUAAAGAAGUGGUGGAGAGCUUACAUGAGGAAUUUGAAAGAGCAGCUGCACAACUCUUCUUUAUGCUUUCCAACUUGAGACUUCAUCGUACAGACCAGCAGCAACAUACCUCACAGCUCAUCAUGCGCAUUGACUACAACAGAUACUACAGCCACCAUUCUGGUUCCCUUCAGCGAUUAACAACAGCUUGCAAGGAAGGACAGUGAGAUCUGUGAAUUUCAAUUAGCAAUGCCAUUGAACACUGCAUCAGAGAGGUUGGGCUGGAAUGAAUAAGUAUUCUUUCAGUGUUUUCAAUACCCCAAGUUUUGCAGUCCUCAAGAUUAGCACUGCACCUUAAAAAACAAGCAAGCGUAAAACUCCUGAGGAUGGUGUAUGAUACACCCGCAAACCGAGUUUAUGCCCAUGCUACCAGUGGUGCAACACACGUGUUCCUGCCCAAUCAGUCCUGUCUAAGCUUAUGCUCACUCAGGACAUAUACAGUGCUAGCUAUUGCAGGAGUUGAGAGCAGACCAGCAACCAAUGCAAUGACACAACCAGGAAAAGAAGACUAGUGAAGUACACAUAAGCUGAGUAAUCCACAAAAUAACAAGAUUGCAAGAUUCAACCAUCAAGUGGUACCAUGACUACAAAUCUGUGGGCUAUCACCAAAAGGGGCCAUGACUUCCAUGUCAAAUAGGUCAAAUAUUCUACCUUCAAUUGUGAUCAGAAGGGUCAUUGGAGGUUGACAUGAUGCUCUAAGAUGCACCAUAAGAGACAAAUGUGCUUAGGUUAACCACCAGCAUCCCAUUAAAGCAUGUAAAAGCAUAUAUAUAACAUAUAUGAACAAAUUGAAUAAAUGUGCACAAAUUUA
rnacentral:misc_RNA from 1 species